rnacentral:rRNA from 1 species
UUUGACCUCAAAUCAGGUAGGACUACCCGCUGAACUUAAGCAUAUCAAUAAGCGGAGGAAAAGAAACUAACAAGGAUUCCCCUAGUAACUGCGAGUGAAGCGGGAAAAGCUCAAAUUUAAAAUCUGGCGGUCUUCUGGCUGUCCGAGUUGUAAUCUAGAGAAGUGUUAUCCGCGCUGGACCGUGUACAAGUCUCCUGGAAUGGAGCAUCAUAGAGGGUGAGAAUCCCGUCUUUGACAUGGACUACCAGGGCUUUGUGAUGCGCUCUCAAAGAGUCGAGUUGUUUGGGAAUGCAGCUCAAAAUGGGUGGUAAAUUCCAUCUAAAGCUAAAUAUUGGCGAGAGACCGAUAGCGAACAAGUACCGUGAGGGAAAGAUGAAAAGAACUUUGGAAAGAGAGUUAAACAGUACGUGAAAUUGCUGAAAGGGAAACGCUUGAAGUCAGUCACGUCGUCCAGGGAUCAACCUUGCUUUUGCUUGGUGCACUUUCUGGUUUGACGGGUCAGCAUCAAUUUUGACCAUUGGAAAAAGGUUAAGGGAAUGUGGCAUCUCUGGAUGUGUUUAUAGCCCUUGGUCACAUACAAUGGUUGGGAUUGAGGAACUCAGCACGCCGCAAGGCCGGGUUUUUAACCACGUACGUGCUUAGGAUGCUGGCAAAAUGGCUUUAAUCGACCCGUCUUGAAACACGGACCAAGGAGUCUAACAUGCCUGCGAGUGUUUGGGUGGAAAACCCGAGCGCGCAAUGAAAGUGAAAAGUUGAGAUCCCUGUCGUGGGGAGCAUCGACGCCCGGACCAGACCUUUUGUGACGGUUCCGCGGUAGAGCAUGUAUGUUGGGACCCGAAAGAUGGUGAACUAUGCCUGAAUAGGGUGAAUCCAGAGGAAACUCUGGUGGAGGCUCGUAGCGAUUCUGACGUGCAAAUCGAUCGUCAAAUUUGGGUAUAGG